GCGUUAUGCGCUAUCGGUUACGAUAUACCGAUGAUUUCGCCCGGUGAAACGCACGCGAAUUAUUCGGCCAGAAAAAAAUACCGCUGCGUACGCGCCCGGCUUUAGUUCAAACGAAAAUUUUGAAAGAGAAAUAUAUCUUGAACGACUCUCGAUCGAUCUUCUAUGAGAUAUGUAACACUAGGCUCAUCUAGUAUUCGUGAUAUGUGACUCGAGGCUCUCAGUGCGUGACCACACGGUACCAACCCAUAUUUAUUUAUGAUGCACUCGGAAGUCGAGCCUUUCCUAUGUAUAUAUGCAGAGACGACUGUUACAUCGCGGAAAUGCGCGCAUCGUGCUCCUUCGACAGAAAUUCGACAGAACAUAAAUAGAUUAAAGUUUGAGAAAUUUUAUGUAUCCGGCAAUGUUCCAACAAAAAGGCGUGGACGAGAAUGUAUGUAUAAUGUCGAACUAUGAUGAAGAGCGGCAGAAACGAAGGUAAACACUAUUAUUACGUAAAUAUUGGCUGACUUAGUGUUCCCAGCGUAGUCAUGAAUUUAUACGGUAUAAGCAUCGCGGAACGCGCUAUUCCCUUUAAUUCCGAAGCACUCGACCACGAGAGCUCGCACUGGUGCGACGCGGCCGUAAUUCAAUUUCGAUCUGUACACACGGUCAACCGGAAGUCGAUUGGUUCUCAUCGCAGAAUUUCCUGGCCACACGAAAGUUGCAGUUUAAUCUAAAUGUCAACGGAUCGCUAUUGUGGCAAGCGAAUAAAUAACGACAAACUUAGUCUCACGAUUUGAAUCCCAAGGAUGAAUGGAAGCCUUAGAAAUAUUCCGCGUUGGCGAGCUAAUAUUGUGCAAGGAGUACGACACAUGUGGAAUGAAAUAAUCGAAGUUCCCAGACAUAAUCGCAUGACGAGUAAUAAGCAAAUUAUAAAUAACAUCAUCCUGAUGAAAUAAUACGACAUUCGAUCGUCUGUUUUAGGUCAAGUCUCCGAUUAUCCGUACAAAACUCACGGAUCGAUAUCUGGCUUCUUGGCGAAUUUCGCAGCAUUCGUAAAAGGAUUAAUAAUGUCAAGAAUCAUGCGGAGUGAGAAAAUGCAACAAAUUCGCUUACAUCUGCAAAAACACGCCUCUCAAGAGUCGCACGUUAUAUAUACAUAUAUAUAUAUUGUGUGGGAGGCUGUCCAACCAAGCACCCAUUGCUAAUAUCGAUCGUGCCCCCCGUUCGCAACGUGUAUGUGAACGACUAAAGUCCGAAGUGUCCGAGGGUGGUAACGUGUCUGUCUGAUUCAUUCGAUCAUGUUACUGACAAACCAGGUGUGC